UACGUAGGGUGCAAGCGUUUGUCCGGAAUUAUUGGGCGUAAAGGGCUCGUAGGCGGUCCGUCACGUCGGGAGUGAAAACUCAGGGCUCAACCCUGAGCGUGCUUCCGAUACGGGCGGACUAGAGGUAUGCAGGGGAGAACGGAAUUCCUGGUGUAGCGGUGAAAUGCGCAGAUAUCAGGAGGAACACCGGUGGCGAAGGCGGGAUCCUGGGCCAGUACUGACGCUGAGGAGCGAAAGCGUGGGGAGCAAACAGG
rnacentral:rRNA from 1 species